GACGAACGCUGGCGGCGUGCUUAACACAUGCAAGUCGAACGAAGUGGCGCACGGGUGAGUAACGCGUAAUCAACCUGCCCUUCCGAGGGGAACAACAGUUGGAAACGACUGCUAAUACCGCAUACUGAAGUCGGGGAUUGCGUCGGAUGAGCUAGUUGGAGGGGUGACGGCCCACCAAGGCGAUGAUCAGUAGCCGGGCUGAGAGGAGGAACGGGAAAAUUGGGAAUGAGACAAGGCCCAGACUCCUAAGGGAGGGAGCAGUGGGGAAUUUUCCGCAAUGGACGAAAGUCUGACGGAGCAACGCCGCGGUAGUGAUGACGGCCUUCGGGUUGGAAAGCUCUGUUAAUCGGGACGCGGUACCGGAAUAGAAAGCCACGGCUAACUACGUGCCAGCAGCCGCGGUAAUUC
rnacentral:rRNA from 1 species